UACAGGGGGUGCAAACGUUGCUCGGAAUCAUUGGGCGUAAAGCGCACGUAGGCGGUUCGUUAUGUCGGAUGUGAAAGCCCUUGGCUUAACCGAGGAAGUGCAUCCGAAACUGGCGAGCUAGAGUACGAAAGAGGAUCGCGGAAUUCCCGGUGUAGAGGUGAAAUUCGUAGAUAUCGGGAGGAACACCGGUGGCGAAGGCGGCGAUCUGGGCUGCAACUGACGCUGAGGCGCGAAGGCUAGGGUAGCAAACAGG
rnacentral:rRNA from 1 species